rnacentral:rRNA from 1 species
AACGAACGCUGGCGGCAUGCCUAACACAUGCAAGUCGAACGAGACCUUCGGGUCUUGGUGCGCACGUGUACGUGCCGCGUGGGAACUUACCCGUAGGUUCGGUGUACCUCACCGAAGGGGGUCCUAAUACCGCUUAAGCUCUUCGCGCCUAAGAGUUAUCGCCUUGGGAUGGGCCCGGGUUGGAUUCGGUAGUUGGUGGGGUAAAAGCGUACCAAGACGGCGAUCCUUAGCUGGUCGGUGAGGAGGAUCAUCGACACUGGGACUGGGACACGGCCCAGACUGCUGCGGGAGGCAGCAGUGGGGAAUAUGGGACAGGGGGCGAAAGCCUGAUCCAGCAAGGCCGCGUGAGUGAUGAAGGGCUUAGGGUUGUAAAGCUCUUUUACCCGGGAUGAUAAUGACGGUACCGGGAGAAUAAGCUCCGGCUAACUCCGU